CAGGAUGAACGCCGGCGGCGUGCUUAAGACAUGCAAGUCGAACGAAGAGAUUGUAGCAAUACGGUCUCUGAGUGGCGAAUGGGUGCGUAACACGUAGGUGACCUACCCCGAAGUGUGGAAUAACAGUCCGAAAGGACUGCUAAUACCGCAUGUGGUCCCGGGUUUUAGAAAGCCGGGUCUAAAGCAGCAAUGCGCUUCGGGAGGGGCCUGCGGCCCAUCAGCUCGUUGGUGGGGUAACGGCCUACCAAGGCAACGACGGGUAGGGGACCUGAGAGGGUGGCCCCCCACAUUGGCACUGACACACGGGCCAAACUCCUACGGGAGGCAGCAGUCGGGAAUAUUGCACAAUGGGCGAAAGCCUGAUGCAGCAACGCCGCGUGAGCGAUGAAGGCCUUCGGGUCGUAAAGCUCUUUUCGGGAGGAUGAGGAAGGACAGUACUCCCGGAAUAAGUCACGGCUAACUACGUGCCAGCAGCCGCGGUAAAACGUAGGUGGCGAGCGUUAUCCGGAUUUACUGGGCGUAAAGCGCGUUCAGGCGGUUUGGCAAGUCGGGCAUGAAAUCUCUUGGCUCAACCAGGAGGGGCUGUCCGAUACUUCCAGACUUGAGGGCAGUAGAGGAGGGUGGAAUUCCGGGUGUAGUGGUGAAAUGCGUAGAUAUCCGGAGGAACACCAGUGGCGAAAGCGGCCCUCUGGGCUGCUCCUGACGCUCAAACGCGAAAGCUAGGGGAGCGAACGGGAUUAGAAACCCCGGUAGUCCUAGCCGUAAACGAUGUUGACUGGGUGUCAGCGGUCUAAACCCCGCUGGUGCCGUAGCAAACGCGUUAAGUCAACCGCCUGGGGACUACGGCCCGCAAGGUAAAACU
rnacentral:rRNA from 1 species